UUCGAAAAAUAUCAAAGAAAGGAACAAGUUACCUUGGGUGGAGUUGGCAGCGGCUGAGCCUUGGUUCUCACAGCUGUGGGAGUUGGAGCUUGGCUUCUUGAGCCCGCAUAAGAUCCAGCAGCAUGGAGCAUAAUCAGAUCGAGAAGCAAAUGAUCGCAUAAGCAGAAGAUAUAUAAGGUUAAGGAUUAAGCAUUGGAAUAGUAGGGAGUAUCUAGCCUUUGCAGUACAACGAAACAUGUUAAUUUGCUUAUGUACUUUGUGAAAUUAAUGUAAACUAAAGUUUGCUACUCAUUGCAUUUCAGGCAGUUCUGGGAGGUGCUAGCUAGCAUAUUUGAUGGACCUGACAGCAAGUUGUUCAGACAAGAAACAGAUGGAGCCCUAGCUAGCUAGUUUGUAGCUUUUGAGUUUUUGUGUAAGAUGGUUUUGUACCUAAGAUGGGUUAGUAGUGGAGCACAAGUUCCUAGUUAUAGCUUUUGGGUUGUUGUGAAGACAAUAGUAGUACUACUGUCUGGUUUGUGCCAUUUGGAUGCGAUAUUGGUUACUUGGUACCUUCGUUUCAAAGAUUGUUGAACAGCUAGCUAAGAUAUAUAUGGAUUAACUGAUAAAUUAAAAUGUUUCUAUGCUGUAAGCUGAUAUUCGAUGG
rnacentral:lncRNA from 1 species